GGGAGAAAGCAGGGCAAUGCUGUUCGAUUGGACAUUGUCUGAGUUGGGUGUUCCAGAUAAAGGUAAAGUUUGUGUACAAUGUACAAAUUGUGAGGCAAGCAUCAAAUGUGAAGACUGUUUUGCAUUUUUGUGUCACAUUUGUGACCAAAUGCAACAUUUUCUCAUGGCUUUCCACCACAGAUUAUAUUGGAAAAAUGGCUUUUAUGAGCCAUUAGACCCGACACAAACUGUGUGCCCUGAAGGAAAUAUCUUUCACUGGAAACCUGUUGUACCAGCCCAACCACCAAAUUCUUGCCCCAACUGCACAGAUUGCAAGUUUAAAAUUCAAGCUCCAGCAAUCUCUGCAUCUUCAUCACUAUAAUGGGAAGGUAUGACCUCUAUACUCCAAUCUAUACAUGCCACUGUGGAUAUGAGCAUCAACAACUAGGCAAGACCAUGCACAAGUCUGGUUUCUAUUCAUCAUUAGGAAGAGCA